rfam:Capsaspora owczarzaki ATCC 30864 unplaced genomic scaffold supercont2.1, whole genome shotgun sequence.
GUCCGUGUAGCGAAGUGGUAUCGCGGCCGCCUCCUAAGCGGCAGAUCGCGGGUUCGAUCCCCGCCUCGGAUA